rnacentral:rRNA from 1 species
AUGGGAACUACUGUUAACCAUUCUGUAAAUGAUGGUAAUGGUCUAAAUAUAUACAAAAUAAACGGGCAGGUUUGCCAUCGAAUGGGAUCUCUUAUGCCUAAGGAAGGAAAUACCCCUAAGUAUGCCGAACUCUAUAUAUAUGAUACCCAAAAUGAGGUGCAAAACAGGAUUCAGGCUUUAGAAAAGGGUGAAAAGAGCGAUGGUGGUUUAGAUGAAUCUAUUGUUGAAGGCUUGAUGCAUAUGCUUGAUACACACAAUUCUUAUGUCAAAAUGUUUAGAUCAGCUAGAGAAAUACUAGCGGCCAAUAGGCAUGCCGAGAUAGCCAUUCAUUUAGUUGCCCCUGGAGAAUCUGAUGGCCCACAAUUUAGCCUUCCUACAACUGUUGAGCUAGCAUCUUUAAUGUUUGUUGAGUUCACGGUGGAGGCUUCUUGUCGUGACAUAAUAAUACACGGUAGAGAUGACAAUCUGCAGCAAAUAUCUUCUUUGCAAACAUCAUAUAUGCCUUUGCAGUAUCCUCUUCUCUUCCCCUAUGCAGAACAUGGGUUUUAG